CUACGUAGGGGGCGAGCGUUGUCCGGAAUGAUUGGGCGUAAAGGGCGCGUAGGCGGCCCGGUAAGUCUGGAGUGAAAGUCCUGUUUUUAAGAUGGGAAUUGCUUUGGAUACUGUCGGGCUUGAGUGCAGGAGAGGUAAGUGGAAUUCCCAGUGUAGCGGUGAAAUGCGUAGAGAUUGGGAGGAACACCAGUGGCGAAGGCGACUUACUGGACUGUAACUGACGCUGAGGCGCGAAAGUGUGGGGAGCAAACAGGAUUAGAUACCCUGGUAGUCCACGCUGUAAACGAUGAAUGCUAGGUGUAGGGGGUAUCGACCCCUUCUGUGCCGCAGUCAACACAAUAAGCAUUCCGCCUGGGGAGUACGGCCGCAAGGUUGAAACUCAAAGGAAUUGACGGGG
rnacentral:rRNA from 1 species